AUGUGUAUUUUAAGUUCAGUUGCGUAUGUUCUCUAUCUGUCUUUUAACCCAACGUUCUCCCUUCCUUCCUUCCUUCCUUCCUUCCUUCCUUCCUUCCUUCCUUCCUUCCUUCCUUCCUUCCUUUUUGUCUUCCUACAGCAACCCACAAGCCACCGAAAACUCCUUCUGGCGGAACAGGUGACUUUGACUUGCCCGACCCCUUUGACACCCCGCCGGAGAGGACAACAAAACCAGCAAAGGCAACCACUGGGCCUUAUCCACGGAAACCAGAGGAUGGCCGCUGGAACGUGCUGCAUACCACCACCACCAAGCAGCCGAAAACCACCAAGCCCCCUCCAAAGAAGACCCCAGCCAAAGAUCCCAUGGACUUUGACCUGUCUGAUGCCUUGGAUGACCAAAAUGAUGGGAGAGAUGGUGGGAUGCCCAAUGUCAAUCCUGGUGGCAGAGAACUUUCAGACUCUGACUUGGCCGAUAUCCUUGACGAAGGAGGUUACAAACCGGACAAGAAGAAAGGAGGAAGUGGUGUCAGCGGUGGAGGCGAGAGCAACUAUGAUGACGGUAAGAGAACAUUCCCCUGGCUCUUAUAGCUUAUGUCCAACUUCAGACAACUUAUGUCAAACUCUAUACCUGACUGGAAAACACAAUCUGCCAUUCUCCAGAUACUAA
ensembl:lncRNA